UACGUAGGGUGCAAGCGUUAAUCGGAAUUACUGGGCGUAAAGCGUGCGCAGGCGGCUAUGCAAGACAGAUGUGAAAUCCCCGGGCUCAACCUGGGAACUGCAUUUGUGACUGCAUGCUAGAGUACGGCAGAGGGGGAUGGAAUUCCGCGUGUAGCAGUGAAAUGCGUAGAUAUGCGGAGGAACACCGAUGGCGAAGGCAAUCCCCUGGGCCUGC
rnacentral:rRNA from 1 species